rnacentral:rRNA from 1 species
UACGUAGGGGGCAAGCGUUGUCCGGAAUCAUUGGGCGUAAAGCGUGUGUAGGCGGCUCGGUAAGUCUGGUGUGAAAUCCUGCGGCUCAACCGCAGACUGUCACUGGAUACUGUCGAGCUUGAGUCCGGAAGAGGAGAGUGGAAUUCCUGGUGUAGCGGUGGAAUGCGCAGAUAUCAGGAGGAACACCAAUGGCGAAGGCAGCUCUCUGGUACGUGACUGACGCUGAGACGCGAAAGCGUGGGGAGCAAACAGG